rnacentral:rRNA from 1 species
UACGGAGGGUGCGAGCGUUGUCCGGAAUCAUUGGGCGUAAAGGGCGCGUAGGUGGCCCGGUCAGUCUUUGGUGAAAGCGCGGGGCUCAACCCUGCGUCGGCCAGGGAUACUGCCGCGGCUCGAGCACUGUAGAGGCAGGCGGAAUUCCGGGUGUAGCGGUGGAAUGCGUAGAGAUCCGGAAGAACACCGGUGGCGAAGGCGGCCUGCUGGGACAACACUGACGCUGAAGCACGAAAGCGUGGGGAGCAAACAGG